rnacentral:tRNA from 1 species
GUGACCGAGUGGUUAAGGCGAUGGACUUGAAAUCCGUUGGGGUUUCCCCGCUUAGGUUCGAAUCCUGCC